GUGCUCCCUUUGGCAGCGCAUAAAUGCUAAAACUGGCACAAUACAGGGAAGAUUAGCUUGCCCCUGUGCAAGUUGCCACAAAAAUGUGUGACGUGUCCUAUAUAAAA
ensembl:snRNA U6 U6 spliceosomal RNA